UACGGAGGGGGCAAGCGUUAUUCGGAAUCAUUGGGCGUAAAGGGCGCGUAGGCGGCUUGGCAAGUCAUAGGUGAAAUCCCUCGGCCCAACCGAGGAACUGCCUUUGAUACUGCCUAGCUCGAGGCCGGGAGAGGGUAGCGGAAUUCCCAGUGUAGCGGUGAAAUGCGUAGAUAUUGGGAGGAACACCAGUGGCGAAGGCGGCUACCUGGACCGGUUCUGACGCUGAUGCGCGAAAGCGUGGGGAGCAAACAGG
rnacentral:rRNA from 1 species